GAGAAAAUUCAUUGGAUUUCAAGGAAUUAAGCAAGUAAAGGUGGUGAAACUUUCGAUAAGGGUAAGGAGAUUGUACCCGAAGAUCAGGACUAAGAGUACUUCGACUCUCAAUAUUUCACUGCAGUGGUGGGUUUUCGUGGACCAACCUAUUAGAGAGGGGCACGGUAAACUCAGUUAUAUUUUGCCUCGGUACAAGAGGCACAGAGGGUAUCUCCUGAGGUAAAGCUUUAGAGUUCACUACAGCAAAACCACCACGUGAGGGUGAACUCAGCCAACGCUA